rnacentral:rRNA from 1 species
UACGAGGGGGGCUAGUGUUGUUCGGAAUCACUGGGCGUAAAGGGAGCGUAGGCGGGAGCCUAAGUUGGGUGUUUAAUUCCGGGGCCCAACCCCGGGCGUGCACUCAAAACUGGGCUUCUUGAAUAGGGGAGAGGUCGAUGGAAUUGGAGGUGUAGCGGUGGAAUGCGUAGAGAUCUCCAAGAACACCGGUUGCGAAGGCGGUCGACUGGACCCAUAUUGACGCUGAGGCUCGAAAGCGUGGGGAGCAAACAGG